rnacentral:rRNA from 1 species
UCCGUAGGUGAACCUGCGGAAGGAUCAUUAUUGAAUGGAGAAAUCCAAAAUCUUUCAACACUUGUGAACCAUUGAAUUUUGCUUUGGCCAGCUGGGUCAUUCCAGCCUGGCCAAAGUUUAUAAUCAAACACGUUUUAUUUUAUGUUUUUCAAAAGAACUAUUUAAUUAUAAUUCUUUUAAAACUCUUAGCAACGGAUCUCUAGGUUCUCGCAUCGAUGAAGAACGCAGCGAAAUGCGAUAAGUAGUGUGAAUUGCAGAAUUUUGUGAAUCAUCGAAUCUUUGAACGCAAAUUGCGCUUUUUGGUAUUCCAAAGAGCAUAUUUGUUUGAGCAUCAUUUCUCUCUCAAUCCCAGGAUUGGUUUUGAUGUCUUUUUUGUGUUCGUUUACGGACGCGAAAAUACAUUGAAAGAGAAUGGCAUAAACGCCAGAGAGCAGCCAAGUGUAGGAGGUUUAUCCCUAUCACUUUGAGCUUUCUAAUUUUUGUUUUGUGCCUUAUAAACAAACCUUUUAAAAGUUUGAUCUCAAAUCAAAUAAGAAUACCCGCUGAACUUAAG